rnacentral:rRNA from 1 species
GAUGAACGCUAGCUACAGGCUUAACACAUGCAAGUCGCGGGGCAGCAUGGGGGUUGCUUGCAAUCCCCGAUGGCGACCGGCGCACGGGUGAGUAACGCGUAUCCAACCUGCCCUUCACCACGGGAUAACCCGGCGAAAGUCGGACUAAUACCGUAUGUUGUCCAUUGACGGCAUCCGAUUUGGACGAAAGGCUUGGCGGUGAGGGAUGGGGAUGCGUCCGAUUAGCCAGACGGCGGGGUAACGGCCCACCGUGGCUACGAUCGGUAGGGGUUCUGAGGGGAAGGUCCCCCACACUGGAACUGAGACACGGUCCAGACUCCUACGGGGGGCAGCAGUGAGGAAUAUUGGUCAAUGGGCGUAAGCCUGAACCAGCCAAGUAGCGUGCAGGAUGACGGCCCUAUGGGUUGUAAACUGCUUUUAUGCGGGGAUAAAGUGGCCCACGUGUGGGCUUUUGCAGGUACCGCAUGAAUAAGGACCGGCUAAUUCCGUG